AAGCCUUUCUCUAGGGAAGCCCUGCCAGGAAGACAGUGACAAAGAGUCUGCUGAAGGCUGUUGGGACAAUGAGGGUCCAAGGAGUUUCUAGGAAAGUCUCAAAGGCCUUCUCCAAACUCCAGGGGAGAAGGCUUGUGGGCCAGAUUCCAUCUCUGCUCUUGGGAUGACGCCCUGCUGACACUGACAGAGGGACCUCUGUGGGCCUUCCAGUGUCGAAAUCCGGAAACCAGGGACACCUGGCUGGCUCAGUCAGUGGAGCACAGGACUCCUGAUCUUGGGUUUGUACAAAUACUUCCUACCUGCCCCGUCCCUCAGUCUUCAUGAACCCCGCUGCCAGGACACCAGUGAAAAUAGAGGGCUCUGGCAGAAAGAACCAGUCAGCCUGUCUGAAGACCCGUGUGUCCCACCUGGGCUGUGCCACAUGCCAAUUGCUCUUUGGCAAGUCCCUUUCCUUCUCUGCAGGACAAAGGGAAGCCAGCCCUGCGAGGUGCAGGAGGGAUACAAGGACAAUGGCUGUUAGCUGCUGGUAUCAGGGACAGGCAGGGGCCAGAGAAGAAAAAAGUGCG